rnacentral:rRNA from 1 species
GUGUCAGCAGCCGCGGUAAUACGGAGGGUGCAAGCGUUGUCCGGAUUUAUUGGGUUUAAAGGGUGCGUAGGCGGGCCUUUAAGUCAGUGGUGAAAGCCGACAGCUUAACUGUCGAAAUGCCAUUGAUACUGGAGGCCUUGAGUACAGUAGAGGUAGGCGGAAUUAAUGGUGUAGCGGUGAAAUGCAUAGAUACCAUUAAGAACACCGAUUGCGAAGGCAGCUUACUAUAGUGUAACUGACGCUGAGGCACGAAAGUGUGGGGAUCAAACAGGAUUAGAUACCCUGGUAGUCC